GGGUGAGUAACGCGUGGGUAACCUACCCUGUACAGGGGGAUAACAGUCAGAAAUGACUGCUAAUACCGCAUAAGACCACAGCACCGCAUGGUGCAGGGGUAAAAACUCCGGUGGUACAGGAUGGACCCGCGUCUGAUUAGCUGGUUGGUGAGGUAACGGCUCACCAAGGCGACGAUCAGUAGCCGGCUUGAGAGAGUGAACGGCCACAUUGGGACUGAGACACGGCCCAAACUCCUACGGGAGGCAGCAGUGGGGAAUAUUGCACAAUGGGGGAAACCCUGAUGCAGCGACGCCGCGUGAGUGAAGAAGUAUUUCGGUAUGUAAAGCUCUAUCAGCAGGGAAGAAAAUGACGGUACCUGACUAAGAAGCCCCGGCUAACUACGUGCCAGCAGCCGCGGUAAUACGUAGGGGGCAAGCGUUAUCCGGAAUUACUGGGUGUAAAGGGUGCGUAGGUGGUAUGGCAAGUCAGAAGUGAAAACCCAGGGCUUAACUCUGGGACUGCUUUUGAAACUGUCAGACUGGAGUGCAGGAGAGGUAAGCGGAACUCCUAGUGUAGCGGUGAAAUGCGUAGAUAUUAGGAGGAACAUCAGUGGCGAAGGCGGCUUACUGGACUGAAACUGACACUGAGGCACGAAAGCGUGGGGAGCAAACAAAAUUAGAUACCCUGGUAGUCCACGCCGUAAAACGAUGAAUACUAGGUUUCGGGCCCGUAGAGGCUUCGGUGCCCCCACCCAACGCAGUAAUUUUUCCACCUGGGGAGUACGUUCGCAAGAAUGAAACUCAAAGGAAUUGACGGGGACCCGCACAAGCGGUGGAGCAUGUGGUUUAAUUCGAAGCAACGCGAAGAACCUUACCUGGUCUUGACAUCCUUCUGACCGGUCCUUAUCGGACCUUUCCUUCGGGACAGGAGUGACAGGUGGUGCAUGGUUGUCGUCAGCUCGUGUCGUGAGAUGUUGGGUUAAGUCCCGCAACGAGCGCAACCCCUAUCUUUAGUAGCCAGCAUUUCAGGUGGGCACUCUAGAGAGACUGCCAGGGAUAACCUGGAGGAAGGUGGGGACGACGUCAAAUCAUCAUGCCCCUUAUGACCAGGGCUACACACGUGCUACAAUGGCGUAAACAGAGGGAAGCAGCCUCGUGAGAGUGAGCAAAUCCCAAAAAUAACGUCUCAGUUCGGAUUGUAGUCUGCAACUCGACUACAUGAAGCUGGAAUCGCUAGUAAUCGCGAAUCAGAAUGUCGCGGUGAAUACGUUCCCGGGUCUUGCACU
rnacentral:rRNA from 1 species